AGCAAUCGGCGAUUGAUAUCGAUUCAUUCAAUUGAUUUCCGAUAUCGAUCUUUAUCGAUUGACUACGCCUGGAAUAAUACAACAGAAAAAUACUUAUUCGGGCAUGGGAACCAAGCUUUUGUUCAAACGAUUGUACAUUGCAAGAAGUACGUGUGAACGCGAAAAAACUGUAUCUAUCUAGUUCAGGGCUCAAUCGUGCUUACUUAACUCUCUUUUCUUUUUCUUUUUUAACGUUAUGUAACAAGACUCACUGCCCAAAAACACGUGAUCAACAAUCUAAAAAAUGUGCAUUUGAGUAAGACAAAUGGAUUCCUUCUCGAAUUUUUUAUGUUAUCAGUCUAUGUAAGGAAUGGACCAGGAAUGUCAUAGAUGGGUCCUGCCCGUCACACUCGUGGCGAACGUAGACUUUGCUGGAGCAGCACAAAGCUGUGAGAUGUGAAACAAACAACGGAAGGUAGCAAUUAACAUUAUGCUUACUUAAGCAAAACGUCACCUGCCUUCGCUGUAUAUUUCGCUUUUAUAUUUCGCUUUGCCGAGAAAGCUGAAGUGGAAAUUGAACUGACUACACUUUGCUUUAAAUUCUCAAAAACUACAAUACAAGCUAACGAGUACAAUUUAACCGUCAAACAUUUAAAAAUGCCUAAAUAUAUUUUAAAUUCAGAGAAGAAAAUAUGAAUAAUUUUAGAUGAACAGGUCUGUUUUGUGUAUGGUUUCCCCAUUUUUCAGAACACGAUCGUCUCAUAAAAGCUGCGACUCUCCUAAUUCAGCCUUAAGAAGAGGGUGUGAAAGAAAGUCACUAAAAAUCGAAGAAGCCCCUUGUUUUUGGUUUUAUUUUAAUUUUAAUUUUUUAUUUUAUUUUAAGUUUUCGCUUGUAUGCAACACCUGAUUAAUUAUUAAUGCAAAGUACAGCUUUCAGAAAUGUUAUUGAGCAGGACGUGACUUGCGAUGUACUUUCUAUCGAGUGUUCUUAAAGGAUUAAAAAUGCAAAACGAAAAAUAGCUUACCUACUAACAUCGUACUUCUACGUCGAUCUCAGUUCUCUUGUGUUUUAGUGAAUUUUAUACAAGCAGAAAUAAUAGGUAAUUUCUUCUUUGAAAAUCUUUUAACGAGGCGAUCGUGAUAUAAAAUUCAGUUUGGAAUAUCUGAUUAGGUUAUACCUUCAGACGCUUUCUAUGCGACUGAGGAUUGACCUUAUAGUUUUAGGUCGAUUUAGUCAAGAAAACGUUUACAGUUGUAUGAUUAUUCUAAACAAAGAAAUCGAUUUACCUGCCGAAACUGAUUACACUCGUGGCGUGGCCGUUUGGUGAAUAAUUUCAGAACAUCAUGACGUUUUUACUUCCCUAGUAAUGUCCUGAAGCCGGUUAGGAAUGUUAUUUUCCUUGUCAUGCCUUAAAUUGCCGUGUGAAGGAUGAACUUAGCCUUCUUCCGUCUUACAUCCUCAUGCUUUCCCGCUUGUUUGAGAGCACUACUAUCCACAUCAGCAUACAUCGUCCCAACGAAGCACGAGGCAGAAGUAAUUAGCAAAAAAAAAAAAAGAAACCAAUCAGCAUAUGGUCAUCACGUGAAGUUAGAAAUGGUGGAAAAUAACAUUACGUAUCCUCUUGCCCAAGUCCAGCCAGUGACGAACCUUUUUGCAAAAUAACCCAAUUCUUACAACAAACACUCUUCUACUUCCGAUAAGAUUUACAUAAAACCCUCAAAACUUGAAAUG